UGUCAGCUAUCUGAGUCUACAUCCUACAGAGAGAGGUGUGUUAUUGAGUCUACAUCCUACAGAGAGAGGUGUGUUAUUGUCAGCUAUCUGAGUCUACAUCCUACAGAGAGAGGUGUGUUAUUGUCAGCUAUCUGAGUCUACAUCCUACAGAGAGAGGUGUGUUAUUGAGUCUACAUCCUACAGAGAGAGGUGUGUUAUUGUCAGCUAUCUGAGUCUACAUCCUACAGAGAGAGGUGUGUUAUUGUCAGCUAUCUGAGUCUACAUCCUACAGAGAGAGGUGUGUUAUUGAGUCUACAUCCUACAGAGAGAGGUGUGUUAUUGAGUCUACAUCCUACAGAGAGAGGUGUGUUAUUGAGUCUACAUCCUACAGAGAGAGGUGUGUUAUUGACAGCUAUCUGAGUCUACAUCCUACAGAGGGAGGUGUGUUAUUGUCAGCUAUCUGAGUCUACAUCCUACAGAGAGAGGUGUGUUAUUGAGUCUACAUCCUACAGAGAGAGGUGUGUUAUUGAGUCUACAUCCUACAGAGAGAGGUGUGUUAUUGAGUCUACAUCCUACAGAGAGAGGUGUGUUAUUGAGUCUACAUCCUACAGAGAGAGGUGUGUUAUUGAGUCUACAUCCUACAGAGAGAGGUGUGUUAUUGAGUCUACAUCCUACAGAGAGAGGUGUGUUAUUGAGUCUACAUCCUACAGAGAGAGGUGUGUUAUUGAGUCUACAUCCUACAGAGAGAGGUGUGUUAUUGAGUCUACAUCCUACAGAGAGAGGUGUGUUAUUGAGUCUACAUCCUACAGAGAGAGGUGUGUUAUUGAGUCUACAUCCUACAGAGAGAGGUGUGUUAUUGAGUCUACAUCCUACAGAGAGAGGUGUGUUAUUGAGUCUACAUCCUACAGAGAGAGGUGUGUUAUUGAGUCUACAUCCUACAGAGAGAGGUGUGUUAUUGAGUCUACAUCCUACAGAGAGAGGUGUGUUAUUGAGUCUACAUCCUACAGAGAGAGGUGUGUUAUUGAGUCUACAUCCUACAGAGAGAGGUGUGUUAUUGAGUCUACAUCCUACAGAGAGAGGUGUGUUAUUGAGUGUACA